rnacentral:rRNA from 1 species
UCGUGUCGUGAGAUGUCGGUUAAGUCCGCUAACGAGCGCAACCCUCGCUGUGUGUUACAAGUGUCACACGGAACUGCCGGUCAUAAACCGGAGGAAGGUGGGGAUGACGUCAAGUCAGCAUGGCCUUUAUAUCCUGGGCUACACACACGCUACAAUGGGAAGGGACAAUAGGUUGCGAAGCCGCGAGGCGGAGCCAAUCCAGCAAAACUUCCCUCAGUUCAGAUUGCAGGCUGCAACCCGCCUGCAUGAAGUUGGAGUUGCUAGUAAACGCAGGUCAGCCAUACUGCGUUGAAUACGUUCCCGGGGCUU